rnacentral:rRNA from 1 species
GGCCUUCGGGUUGUAAACCUCUUUUAUCUGGGAGCAAGCGAGAGUGAGUUUACCCGUUGAAUAAGCACCGGCUAACUACGUGCCAGCAGCCGCGGUAAUACGUAGGGUGCAAGCGUUAUCCGGAAUUAUUGGGCGUAAAGGGCUCGUAGGCGGUUCGUCGCGUCCGGUGUGAAAGUCCAUCGCUUAACGGUGGAUCCGCGCCGGGUACGGGCGGGCUUGAGUGCGGUAGGGGAGACUGGAAUUCCCGGUGUAACGGUGGAAUGUGUAGAUAUCGGGAAGAACACCAAUGGCGAAGGCAGGUCUCUGGGCCGUUACUGACGCUGAGGAGCGAAAGCGUGGGGAGCGAACAGGAUUAGAUACCCUGGUAGUCCACGCCGUAAACGGUGGAUGCUGGAUGUGGGGCCCGUUCCACGGGUUCCGUGUCGGAGCUAACGCGUUAAGCAUCCCGCCUGGGGAGUACGGCCGCAAGGCUAAAACUCAAAGAAAUUGACGGGGGCCCGCACAAGCGGCGGAGCAUGCGGAUUAAUUCGAUGCAACGCGAAGAACCUUACCUGGGCUUGACAUGUUCCCGACGGUCGUAGAGAUACGGCUUCCCUUCGGGGCGGGUUCACAGGUGGUGCAUGGUCGUCGUCAGCUCGUGUCGUGAGAUGUUGGGUUAAGUCCCGCAACGAGCGCAACCCUCGCCCCGUGUUGCCAGCGGAUUAUGCCGGGAACUCACGGGGGACCGUCUGGGUUAACUCGGAGGAAGGUGGGGAUGACGUCAGAUCAUCAUGCCCCUUACGUCCAGGGCUUCACGCAUGCUACAAUGGCCGGUAACACGGGAUGCGACGCGGCGACCCGGAGCGGAUCCCUGAAAACCGGUCUCAGUUCGGAUCGCAGUCUGCAACUCAACUGCGUGAAGGGCGAGUCCCUAGUAAUCCCAAAUCACCAACGUCGCGGUGAAUUGCUUUCCGGGGCCUUGGACACACCGGCCGUCAAGUCAUGAAAGUGGGCAGCACCCGAAGCCGGUGCCUAACCCUCUGUGGGAUGAACGUCUAAGGUGAGCUCCUGAAUGGGACUAAUCCUAC